UUUAAGUUAUUUUAUAAUAAAUAUUUGACUGUUGAUCAAAAGAAUAUCUUAGAG
rnacentral:tRNA from 1 species